rnacentral:rRNA from 1 species
GACGAACGCUGGCGGCGUGCUUAACACAUGCAAGUCGAACGGUAAGGCCCUUCGGGGGACACGAGUGGCGAACGGGUGAGUAACACGUGGGUGAUCUGCCCUGCACUUCGGGAUAAGCCUGGGAAACUGGGUCUAAUACCGGAUAGGACCACUGCCUGCAUGGGUGGUGGUGGAAAGCUUUUGCGGUGUGGGAUGGGCCCGCGGCCUAUCAGCUUGGUGGUGGGGUGAUGGCCUACCAAGGCGACGACGGGUAGCCGGCCUGAGAGGGUGACCGGCCACACUGGGACUGAGAUACGGCCCAGACUCCUACGGGAGGCAGCAGUGGGGAAUAUUGCACAAUGGGCGCAAGCCUGAUGCAGCGACGCCGCGUGAGGGAUGACGGCCUUCGGGCUGUAAACCUCUUUUAGCACCGACGAAGCGCAAGUGACGGUAGGUGCAGAAGAAGGACCGGCCAACUACGUGCCAGCAGCCGCCGUAA